AUUGAACGCUGGCGGCAGGCCUAACACAUUCAAGUCGAGCGAGCGGCUGAGGUGAGAGUAAUGUAUGGGGAUCUGCCCGGAAGAGGGGGAUAACUACUAGACACGGUGGCUGAUAACACAUACUAUCGUAUGACCCCAUAUGGGAUUAGCUAGUCGGUGGGGUAAAGGCUCACCUAGGCGACGAUCUCUAGCUGGUGUGAGAGGAUGAUCAGCCAAACUGGGACUGAGACACGGCCCAGACUCCUACGGGAGGCAGCAGUGGGGAAUAUUGCACAAUGGGCGCAAGACUGAUGCAGCCAUGCCGCGGGUAUGAAGAAGGCCUUAGGGUUGUAAAGUACUUUCAGCGGGGAGGCGUUACCCGCAGAAGAAGCACCGGCUAACUCCGUGCCAGCAGCCGCGGUAAUUC
rnacentral:rRNA from 1 species